ensembl:lncRNA
ACCACUUAUGACAUUUUUAUUGGCAUAUGACAAUUUACAAGGGUCCCUGUUGCAUUAUACAUCACACUGAGUAAGAAUCGUUAAGCCAUCUACAUUCAUUCUUAUUGGGUAAUAUUUUUCUCAAAUUAUUAUUUAAUUCCCAACACUGAUUUUAACUGUGACAAAAAGGAACCAACAGCAAUUCCUUGAAGCAGACUGCAAUUGAAAAAACGUUUUGCUUUUUGUAUUAAAUUCUUAGGAUGUUAAAAGUAUACAGACCUAAGAAUUGAGUCAUGGCCUUAUUAAACAGUUUUAUUUUUUCUAGAAAGAAAUACCUUUGGUUCGUCUUUUUUUCCCUUCUCCAAGCAAAAGACAAGUUUGUUAAUGCAAGUAUCAAAGAGUUAUUUUCUGGCAUUUGUAAAUAAAUAUCCUUACCAAAAGGAACCAUUCAGCUUUUAUAACAUCAUAAAGUGUGGAAUUAAACUGUGAUUUAAAAAAAUACGGACUACUUUUUAUAUUAUUCUUGGCUAUAAAAAAGAUAACAUCCAUAAUGCCAUUCUAUUGUAGUUCUCACAAUCACUCUAUCCUACUAUAUUCUGAUAGGAUAUGCUUUCCUCAACUGUAUGAGAAUAAAAGUAACCAAAGUUAAAGCAAUGCAUUUGCACUUAAAAUAUAACCUGCCCAAAGAACUUGAGUAGCUUUAUUCCCAACUCCCUACUGAAUAAUUUUUUAGUAAAUCCCCUUUCCUCUUUUGCCUUUCAGUGGAAAAGCAAAGCUACACAAAAAUAGACAUGCAUAGGGAAUCUGUGUCUAACCAAAUAGUGACUUUUAAAAGCAAUGUGUUGUUCAUAUAAAAUGAAACGGUAUAAAAUAAAUGUUGGGGUCUCUACCAUGUUGCUUUGAAAUUUAAGCAUUAUUCUAAGAGGGUUAUGUCCUAAUCGAUGCAAUACAUCCUUGCUUUGACGAGAACCUCUUCUCUGCUUUACUAGGUGAUUUCAAAAAGAGAAAAUAAGAGAAAAUUAUGCAAUACUAAGGACCUUACACAAUAAAUAUCAAAUAUACUGACUUUCCUUUUAGUUUUGCUUAGUUUCAAAAGCUCUUAGCAAAUGUCCCUGGCUGCAAUCAAGGUGCUAUACGCACUGCAAAGCAUCAAAAAUGAGGAUGAAAGAACCACACACUUAAGAUCUUCAAAGGUUCACAUUUACAGAACAAGCAUUAUCUUUAAAUGCAAAAAUAUACAACUAAUUUGGUUGAAUUAAAAUGAAUCGUGGUUAGUUUUAUAUAAACAGAAAUAAGAAGUAUACUAUUUCAGAUUUUCAUUCUUUUAAGAGCUAUAAACAUAAAAAGUAAUUCACAUUUGAAAG